rnacentral:rRNA from 1 species
GAUGAACGCUGGCGGCGUGCUUAACACAUGCAAGUCGAGCGAAGCAGUUAAGUUGAUUUCUUCGGAUUGAUUCUUAAUUGACUGAGCGGCGGACGGGUGAGUAACGCGUGGGUGACCUGCCCCAUACCGGGGGAUAACAGCUGGAAACGGCUGCUAAUACCGCAUAAGCGCACAGAGCUGCAUGGCUCAGUGUGAAAAACUCCGGUGGUAUGGGAUGGGCCCGCGUCUGAUUAGGCAGUUGGCGGGGUAACGGCCCACCAAACCGACGAUCAGUAGCCGGCCUGGGAGGGCGACCGGCCACAUUGGGACUGAGACACGGCCCAAACUCCUACGGGAGGCAGCAGUGGGGAAUAUUGCACAAUGGGGGAAACCCUGAUGCAGCGACGCCGCGUGAGCGAAGAAGUAUUUCGGUAUGUAAAGCUCUAUCAGCAGGGAAGAUAAUGA